rnacentral:rRNA from 1 species
ACCCGCUGGACACCCGCAUGAUAWUAAGCAGAUCAAUAAGCGGAGGACAAGAAACUAACAGUGAUUCCGUUAGUAACGGGGAGUGAAACGGGAAUAAAUCAACUGGAAAAUCUCCCUUUGGAGAAUUGUAGUAGAGAGAAGCGCCCUCUCAGGCGGCCGGCAACCAACUUCGAAAGAAAGCGGCGUCAGGGAGGGUGAGAACCCCGUCGGCUCUCCUGUUACUCCCUGAGAGAGGUGCUUUGAGUGAGUCGGGUGUUUGGGAAUGCAGCCCAAAAUGGGAGGUAAAUUCCUUGUAAGAAUAAAUACGGGAGAGAGACCGAUAGCAAGCAAGUACCGGGAGGGAAAGAGAAAAGAACUAAGAAAGUUAAAAAAAAAGGAAAGAAAUUGAGGGAGGGAAGCGAUUGGAGGGGGUGGGUGCGGUCACGCUUAUGCGUAUCGGUUGAGCCAAUGUAUGGGGUGAGCGUCAGCAAGCAUGGCCGGCCGGGACGGGACCCCAGCGUUGGUGUCCCCCCCUACGUUACCCGUCGACCGAUCAAGGAAUGAAUCUCGCUCAGUCCUCUCGGGAAAUCUUGCG